rnacentral:rRNA from 1 species
GACGAACGCUGGCGGCGUGCUUAACACAUGCAAGUCGUACGGUAAGGCCCUUUCGGGGUUCACCGGUUGCGAACGGGGUAGGUAACACUGAGGUACCUGCCCCCAACCUUUGGGUUACGCCAGGAAACUGGGGCUAAUUCUUGGAUAUGGCUUCCGCUGGCAGGGUGGGGGUUGGAAGCUUCCGGCGGUGGUGGUUGGAUUCGCGUCCUAUCAGCUUGUUGGUGGGGUAUUGGCCUACCAAGGCGGCGACGGGUAGCCGGCCUGAGAGGGUGACCGGCCACAUUGGGACUGAGAUACGGCCCAGACUCCUACGGGAGGCAGCAGUGGGGAAUAUUGCACAAUGGGCGCAAGCCUGAUGCAGCAACGCCGCGUGCGGGAUGACGGCCUUCGGGUUGUAAACCGCUUUCAGCAGGGACGAAGCUUUUUGUGACGGUACCUGCAGAAGAAGCACCGGCUAACUACGUG